UGAUGCUGAGAAAGGUCAGAGGAGCUUGACGGUUGCGAGAGAGAGAAGCAGGUAAGUGGCUGGUCGACAGACGAAGCUGUUAGUGACUGAUUGGUUGCGAAUUACCUGAGAUAAGCAUUUCAGCACCAAAAAUGGAAGCAAAGGAAGCUGCUCUGAAACAACGGAAGAGUACGUUUCAGAACGUACGAGCCGAGUUCAGUCGUAAGGACAGCGUGAUGGCAGUUCCAGGUCGAGAAGGUGCUUAUGUGGAGAAGGGUUCGUAUCAAGGCCGCGCCGUCGGCGUCUUCACCAGUGGAGGAGAUGCACAAGGAAUGAAUGCAGCCGUCCGGGCUGUUGUCCGGAUGGGAAUAUAUCUAGGAUGCAAAGUAUAUUUCAUCAAAGAGGGGUACCAAGGAAUGGUGGAUGGUGGAGAGAAUAUUGUGGAAGCAACUUGGGCACAGGUGUCCGGAAUGAUGAAUCUUGGUGGUACGGUAAUUGGUAGUGCACGAUGUAUGUCUUUUCGUGAAAGGGAAGGUCGUUUGACUGCUGCUCUCAAUUUGGUAAAACAGAACAUCACCAACUUAGUGGUUAUUGGAGGUGAUGGUAGUUUAACUGGUGCAAACAAAUUUCGUAUGGAAUGGCAGUCAUUACUACAAGAGCUCGUGGAACAAGGUCAUAUUACUAAAGACCGUAUGGAAUCAUGUAAACAUCUUAACAUUGCUGGCAUGGUUGGAUCGAUUGACAACGACUUUUGUGGAACUGACAUGACAAUUGGUACUGAUUCAGCCUUGCACAGAAUUAUGGAGGCUAUUGAUGCUAUUGCAACUACUGCGUCUAGCCAUCAGAGAUGCUUCGUUAUGGAAGUGAUGGGUCGACAUUGUGGCUAUUUAGCCUUAGUUGCUGCUUUGGCGAGUGAGGCUGAUUGGGUUUUCAUUCCUGAAUGGCCCCCAGAGCAAGGUUGGCAAGAUGUUCUUUGCAACAAAUUAGCUGUUGAGAGGACACUUGGUCAAAGGCUGAACAUCAUCAUUGUAGCUGAAGGAGCAAUUGACCGAGAGGGUAAUCCCAUCACAGGAGACAUGGUGAAGAAGCUGAUAUCUGAACGGCUUAAAUAUGAUACCAGAGUAACUGUCCUUGGUCAUGUUCAGAGAGGUGGCAAACCAUCUGCAUUCGAUCGUAUAUUGGGCUCCAGAAUGGGUGCAGAGGCAGUUUUAGCCUUAAUGGAAGCAACUCCAGAUACACCCGCCUGUGUCGUAUCCCUUGAAGGUAACCAAACUGUUCGAGUGCCACUGAUGGAAUGUGUUGAACGGACUCAAGCUGUUCAAAAGGCUAUGGAUGAGAAAAACUUUGAUGAAGCCGUUAGGUUGAGAGGAAGAAGUUUCUUAAACAACUUGCUAACAUAUAGAAAAUUAACCAAGUUGCGUCCACCAAGCUCUCGUUGUUCCGUUGGGGAUAACAGAAACUUAGCUCUUAUGAAUAUUGGUGCCCCUGCAUGUGGUAUGAAUGCUGCAAUGAGAUCUUUUGUUCGCCUUGGUAUUACUAAGGGAUACAAUGUUAUAGCAAUCCAUGACAGUUUUGAUGGUUUGCUGAACGACAAUGUGACUCCUAUGGCUUGGGAAGAGGUACGAAGUUGGACCAGCAAAGGUGGAUCCUUAUUGGGUACCAAAAAAAUGAUUGCUGGAAAAAUUGGCCUUGAGAAAAUUGCUGCCAAAUUUAUCAAACACAAAAUACAUGGUCUAUGUGUUAUUGGUGGCUUUGAGGCGUACCACAGUGUUGUCCAGCUAUGCGAAGCGCGUUAUCGUUUUCCUGCAUUCUGUAUCCCGAUGAUUGUUAUCCCUUGUACUAUCAGUAAUAAUAUCCCUGGGACAGAUUUUAGUUUAGGAGCAGACACAGCUCUUAAUGAAAUCACUGACAUUUGUGAUCGAAUCAAGCAAUCAGCUUUGGGUACUAAAAGAAGAGUUUUUAUUGUUGAAACUAUGGGUGGCUAUUGUGGCUACCUUGCUACCAUGGCUGGGUUGGCUGGAGGCGCUGAUGCUGCCUACAUCUAUGAAGAAAAUAUGACAAUCACAGAUUUAAGGAAUGAUGUAUUCCAUUUAAAGAAUAAGAUUAAAGACAUUGGAGUUCAGAGAGGUUUGAUUUUGAGGAAUGAAAAUGCUAAUUCUAACUAUACUACGGACUUCAUCUACCAAUUGUUCUCUGAAGAAGGAAAAGGUGUAUUUACAACUCGCAAAAAUGUCUUGGGUCAUAUGCAGCAAGGAGGUGUGCCAACACCAUUUGAUAGAAACUUUGGUACAAAAAUGGCUUCCAAAGCUAUUGACCAUCUAAUUGCACAAGUUGAAGAACAUACUCGCCCUGAUGGAACUGUCUUUACUUCACAGCUUGAGACUGCUACACUUCUUGGUAUGCAAAAACGUCACUUGUGCUUCACUCCAGUCAUGGAGCUAACUCAAUAUGCUAAUUUUGAGAAACGUAUUCCUAAAGAACAAUGGUGGCUAAAACUACGUUCACUGUUGAGAAUCUUGGCCAAGCAUGAAGCCGUGGCCUAUCACACAGAAGCCGUAUCUGCUGGUGUUGAUGAGACUUGGUGAAAAGGAUGAUAGGCCUGGGACAUUUUUUAAGCCAGUGCUCAACUAUUUCAGCUGAUCAAUGCCAACAAAUCAGCUAACAGGAGAAAACACAAGGGAAUUUCCAAGUAACCAUCAAUGAAUGACAAUUACUCUCUAGAUAUUGUUCAAUAGAACUUGGCAAACGAGGAUGAUGAGAAUCCAAAGGCUUUACGUCAACGCUUUUCUUUUGCAUAACUGAUACUGGUUAUUGAGUCACAGAAACUAUUACCUGACUUGGUAUUUAUAACAGACAGUGCUAUCAAGUUUUAUAAAAUCUCACUAAAAGCUAGGACCAGAGAUAAAGAAUUUCAACGUAGAAAAUUAUUUAGGAAUAACUUGGCUUCUUUCUCUUAUUUUUAUUGCAUUUUUGCAUGCAAGAUUUUCCUUUUUACAAAAUUCACUCACACACAUCACAUGCAUACAUGUACACACCACACACAUUAAAUAUUUUAUCUGAACCAUUUCUGCAUAUACACACACACACACACACACACACACACACACACAGUAGUAAGACACCCGGAUUACUGAAGCAUUGAUAAAACGCAAAUGUUUUUUUUUUUUGUUUUGUCUUUCUAAAUCUUUGACUUUUAGAUAUCAAAAUUGUAAAAUAUAUUUAUUAAAAAGAGCAACCAACUACUCUGAAUAACAUAUUU
rnacentral:misc_RNA from 1 species